GCCGGGGUGACGGAGAGGCUACGUGGCGGACUGCAGAUCCGCUUUACUCGGGUUCAAAUCCCGACCCCGGCU
rnacentral:tRNA from 1 species